rnacentral:rRNA from 1 species
GACGAACGCUGGCGGCGUGCUUAACACAUGCAAGUCGAACGGAAAGGCCCUGCUUUUGUGGGGUGCUCGAGUGGCGAACGGGUGAGUAACACGUGAAUAACCUGCCCUUGACUUUGGGAUAACUUCAGGAAACUGGGGCUAAUACCGGAUAGGAGCUCCUGCUGCAUGGUGGGGGUUGGAAAGUUUCGGCGGUUGGGGAUGGACUCGCGGCUUAUCAGCUUGUUGGUGGGGUAGUGGCUUACCAAGGCUUUGACGGGUAGCCGGCCUGAGAGGGUGACCGGCCACAUUGGGACUGAGAUACGGCCCAGACUCCUACGGGAGGCAGCAGUGGGGAAUAUUGCACAAUGGGCGGAAGCCUGAUGCAGCAACGCCGCGUGCGGGAUGACGGCCUUCGGGUUGUAAACCGCUUCCGCCUGUGACGAAGCGUGAGUGACGGUAAUGGGUAAAGAAGCACCGGCUAACUACGUGCCAGCAGCCGCGGUGAUACGUAGGGUGCGAGCGUUGUCCGGAUUUAUUGGGCGUAAAGGGCUCGUAGGUGGUUGAUCGCGUCGGAAGUGUAAUCUUGGGGCUUAACCCUGAGCGUGCUUUCGAUACGGGUUGACUUGAGGAAGGUAGGGGAGAAUGGAAUUCCUGGUGGAGCGGUGGAAUGCGCAGAUAUCAGGAGGAACACCAGUGGCGAAGGCGGUUCUCUGGGCCUUUCCUGACGCUGAGGAGCGAAAGCGUGGGGAGCGAACAGGCUUAGAUACCCUGGUAGUCCACGCUGUAAACGGUGGGUACUAGGUGUGGGGUCCAUUCCACGGGUUCCGUGCCGUAGCUAACGCUUUAAGUACCCCGCCUGGGGAGUACGGCCGCAAGGCUAAAACUCAAAGGAAUUGACGGGGCCCCGCACAAGCGGCGGAGCAUGCGGAUUAAUUCGAUGCAACGCGUAGAACCUUACCUGGGUUUGACAUGGAUCGGGAGUGCUCAGAGAUGGGUGUGCCUCUUUUGGGGUCGGUUCACAGGUGGUGCAUGCCUGUCGUCAGCUCGUGUCGUGAGAUGUUGGGUUAAGUCCCGCAACGAGCGCAACCCUUGUUCACUGUUGCCUGCACGUUAUGGUGGGGACUCAGUGGAGACCGCCGGGGUCAACUCGGAGGAAGGUGGGGAUGACGUCAAGUCAUCAUGCCCCUUAUGUCCAGGGCUUCACGCAUGCUACAAUGGCUGGUACAGAGAGUGGCGAGCCUGUGAGGGUGAGCGAAUCUCGGAAAGCCGGUCUCAGUUCGGAUUGGGGUCUGCAACUCGACCUCAUGAAGUCGGAGUCGCUAGUAAUCGCAGAUCAGCAACGCUGCGGUGAAUACGUUCCCGGGGCU